UUUAAGUUUAUCAUUAGUUUCCAUGCUAAAGUUUGAUCGUCCAUCUUAUUUAAAAUUUCCCUGUAAUUAGUAAUUUUAUUGUUAUGAGAUAAUAAAACAUUAAUAGUUAUUUUAUAUGUGACUUAUAUUUUUUUAAUUUUUUAAUUUUUCUUUAAAUAAGACGGAUGAUUAAAGUUAAGCACAGAUGAACAUGGCUGUAAUUAAA
rfam:Oryza glaberrima chromosome 6 Oglab06_0071_11, whole genome shotgun sequence.